rnacentral:rRNA from 1 species
UACGAGGGGUGCAAGCGUUGCUCGGAAUUAUUGGGCGUAAAGGGUAGGUAGGUGGACUCAUUUGUCCGGGGUGAAAGCCUUGAGCUUAACUCAAGAAGUGCCUCGGAAACGGUGAGACUGGAGUCUUGGAGAGGGUCGUGGAAUUCCCGGUGUAGCGGUGAAAUGCGUAGAGAUCGGGAGGAACACCAGAGGCGAAGGCGGCGACCUGGACAAGUACUGACACUCAACUACGAAAGCGUGGGGAGCAAACGGG